GGAUGUGAGGAUGAUCUGGCUAUGACAUCUGUCACCCCAUUGGAUCACCAGGGUUGAUUCAACUGAUUUGACUAGCUAGGUGGGUGUCUCCUUCCUCCCACACCCCUCCAUAUGUCCCUCCCAAAGCAACAUGGUCUGGCAAAGAGAACAACCUUUUCUCAUAGUGGAGAACAAUUCCUUUUUUUUUUUUCCUGCAUCCUCACCAGCGUUUGUUGUUCCUUGUUUCUUUCUUUGUUGGAGAGGGGCAGCACUGGGAAUUGAACUCAGAGCCUCAUGCUUGCAAGGCAGGCACUCUUA
rnacentral:sRNA from 1 species